rnacentral:rRNA from 1 species
GACAGAGGGUGCAAACGUUGCUCGGAAUUACUGGGCGUAAAGCGCGUGUAGGCGGUUCCGCAAGUCAGGUGUGAAAGCCCAGGGCUCAACCCUGGAAGUGCACUUGAUACUACGGAGCUUGAGUACUGAAGAGGAGAAUGGAAUUCCUGGUGUAGCGGUGAAAUGCGCAGAUAUCAGGAAGAACACCGAUGGCGAAGGCAGUUCUCUGGGACGGUACUGACGCUGAGACGCGAAAGCGUGGGGAGCGAACAGG